CACAUCCAAAAGCUUUAAACGUUAGUCUUUCGGAAUUAGGAUGUUGGAAGUCUACGACAACUGGGAAAGGUUGAUUAGAGUCACGCUAUGGAAAGAGGAAUUUCGUGAACUUGCUCGUGCCCACUCGAGAAGUCCUAGCACCACCUCUUCUUCGUCGCAUUUCACUUUGAGUUCUCCUCUCCAUGAUUGAGGUGAAUUUAUUGUACUUUUUAGUUAUAAUAAAUCAAUUUAGGAUUGCAUAUUUUCGUUUGAGAUGAUUUUAGAGGUUAAAAUGGUCUAUCCAUCAUAAGAGGCGGUCAUGUUAGAUUCUAUUUUUUCACCUUGAAAACGAUGAAGAUUGACCCGUUGGUCCAAAUUAAAAGAAUAUAGAAGCAAAUGAAAAAUGUGAUUUGAAUGGUUCAGAAGAAAAUAGGAUUUUCUGUUAACAUAUCUUUAAGAUGCAUUACUCUUCCUAAAUUUAUUUGCUUGAUUUGAUUGUUUAGUAUUUGAUUUCGACAUCUCGAAAAACUAAUUGGUGUUCAUCAACUAAACCUUUUAUGGCAAUCAACCACAGACCAACCCACGGACUUAACUGUAGGAAAUAAAAGUGGACUUAGGAGGAGGAAAUGAUUUUCUAUUCAAUUGUGGACUUAUCUUCAACUCAAGAUUACAUAGGUAUUUAUCGGACUUUCUAUCACGUAAGUUCAUCCCCUCAAUUUAAUUCUACUGCAUGCACCACAAUUUACUAGGUACAUAUUAAUUAAUAAUACAUGCAUACAUGAACCACAAUAAACUAGGUGCAUAUUAAUUAAUAAUACAUGUAUUUCAAACUUCUAAAUUCAUGAAACUAAAUUAAAUAGGUUAAAUGCAUAUUUAUUUUUCUAACACCCCCCCCCCUUUAAACAUGAAUGUUACAUACUCCAAGCAAGCUUCUUAAUGCCUUGAAAGUAUUGAACUUGAGAGCUUUGGUGAGAAUAUCUCCAAUUUGGGCUUGAGACUUCACAAAAUUAAUCUUUACUACCUUGUUUGCAAUGCAUUCACUCGCAAAGUGAUAUUUGGUAUCUAUAUGCUUUCUACGUUCAUGAAACAACGGAUUCUUUGCUAAAGUAAUGACUGAUUUGUUAUCUACACUUACUUUAGUAGGCUCUCUUUGUGCAAAAUGAAGCUCAUUCAACAAAUUCCUUAGCCAAACUGCUUGUGUAACACAAGAACUGACAGCAACAUACUCAACUUCACAAGUUGACAGAGUAACAAUUGGUUGCUUCUUUGAGCUCCAAGUAAAAGCUGUGUUACCCAUGUAAAAUACAAAUCCAUUGGUACUCUUUCGAUCAUCAAUGUCGCCACCCCAAUCACUAUCACCGAAACCUCUAAGUUUGAAAACAUUAGAGGCAUAAUAAUGUAACCCGAAAUCAAGAGUACCUUUGAUGUAACGUAAAAUUCUUUUCCCAGCUUUCAAAUGUGCUGUCAUUGGAGCCUCCAUAUAAUGACUAACCGGUCCUACUCCAAAUAAUAUAUCCGGCCUUGUACAAGUUAAAUAUCUCAGGCUUCCAACUAAUCUUCGAAACAAGGUUGGAUCCACCUUUGCACCAUCAUCAUAUCUAGAAAGUUUGAUGUUACAUUCUACUGGAGUGUUAACUGGAUUGCAAUUACUCAUGUUGAAUUUUUGUAGAACUUCUUUUGCAUAAUUUCUUGUACGAUGAAAUGCCUUCCUCUGUCUGCUUCACUUCUAUCCCAAGAUAAUAGGAUAAGUCCUAAAUCUAUCAUCUUGAAUUCACAGCACAUUUUUCUCUUGAAUUCUUCAAACGUCUUUGGAUUGUUGCCUGUAAAAAUUAGAUCAUCGACAUACAGACAAACAAUCAGAACACCAUUGGCAUUCACCUUAAUGUAGAGAGCAUGCUCAUAAGGACACUUGGUAAAGCCAUUCUCCUAAAAAUAUUUAUCAAUUCUACAAUUCCAAACUCUUGGUGCUUGCUUUAGGCCGUAAAGAGCUUUCUUUUAUUUCAACACUUUGUCCUCAUUUCCUUUUACUACAAAGUCGGGGGGGUUGUUGCACAUAGACCUCCUAUUCAAGAUAGCUAUUGAGAAAGGCCGACUUGACAUCCAUUUGGAAAAUUUUCCACUUGUUUUGAGCAGCCGAAGAAAUUAUCAGUCGUAUGGUCUCUAACUGAGCUACUGGAGCGAAAACUUCUUCAUAAUCGAUGCUUUGACGUUGUUUGUAUCCUUUCACCACGAGUCUUGCUUUGUAUCUUUCUACCUCUCCUUUUGAAUUUUUCUUAGUUUUGUACACCCAUUUAACUUCGAUGGCAGCAUGUCCCUUGGGAAGAGUUGUUAAUUCCCAAGUAUUGUUCUUCUCAAUUGCUCCGAUUUCUUCAUUCAUGGCUUUCCUCCAUUUCUCAUCCUCAGCAGCUUCAUUAAAACCUAUGGGCUCAAUAUUUGCAAACAGACAGAAGAAAGUAAUAACAUCAAUUCUCUUGGUUUCUCGAUAUAUAUCAUCAAGCCUCAUUGUACUCAAAGGCCUUUCACUUGAACUUCUUUCAAAAAAAUCAAUUUCACCACGUGAUGGUGAUGUUGGAGGAGUGGUGGCCUCAUGUAUUUCUUCAUUGUCAUCUUCUUCCUCCAAGAAAGGAAGAAAGUCAUAGUUAUCUUCUUCAACAUGCCAAUUCCAUGUUGCUUCCUCAUCAAAAUCUACAUCUCUACUAAUAAACAUCCUUCCAUCACUUGGAUUAUAGAGCUUGUAGCCUUUUGUUUUUGAAUCAUAGCCAACGAACACACAUUUUUUACUCUUGUCAUCAAGUUUCGAACGCUUCUCAUCAAGAACAUGGACAUAUGCAACGCAUCCAAAUAAUUUCAAAUGAGAUACUGUUGGUUUUCUCCCAUUCCAUGCUUCAAGUGGUGUCUUGUGGGCUAAAGCCUUUGUGGCACACCGAUUCAACAAGUAGACAGCACAAUCGACAGCUUCUAACCAAAAUUGUUUUGGCAUUUUCUUUGUCUUCAUCAUGCUCCUUGCCAUAUUGAGAAUUGUUCGGUUCUUUUGUUCAACAACACCGUUAUGCUGUGGAGAUCCUAGAGCGGUUAGGAACCGACGAAUUCUGUUGGCAUCACAGAAGUCUUGAAACUUUCUGGAAGUGAAUUCGCCUCUUCUAUUUGAUCUCACAGCCUGGAUUUUAAAUCCACUUUCUUUUUCUACAAGAGUUUUAAAAUUCUGAAAGCACUUAAACACCUCCGAUUUUUUUUUUUUAGAAAAUACACCCAUGUUUUUCUACUUAAAUCAUCAAUAAACAAAAGAAAAUAUUUGUUCUUACCAAAAGAACAUGGAGUGAUUAGCCCACAUAUAUCAGUGUGUAUCAAUUGUAGUUGUCUUGAAACUCUUGAUUGAGAUUCCUUUGGAAAAACCUUUCUUGACUGCUUACCAAAAAGACACCCUUCACAAAGCUGAUUAGGCUGAUGUAUUGGAGGUAAACCUUUCACCAGUCCAUUGCUAGCCACUGUUUUGAGCCCACCAAAAUUUAUGUGCCCAAAUCGUAAAUGCCACAACUAUGACGAGUCUUUAUAACACGACGUCAAACACUUAGCCAUAUCAGUUUGUAUGGACAACACAAAUAAACGAUUUUUCACCAUAGGUACUUUAGCAAUCAAAUUUCCUGCAUCAUCCUUUAAAAACACACUGUAACCUUUUGUAAACAAAACAUAACCUUUCUCCAAUAAUUGACCCACAGUCAAAAUAUUACUCUUCAUAUCUGGAGCAUAAUAAACAUUUGAAAUAAAUUGGUGAUUUCUAUCUUUCAUACGUAUCAAGAUUUUACCUUUUCCCUUUACUGGAAUUUUGGAGAAAUCCCCGAAUGUGAUAUUGCCACCAACCUUCUCAUCAAACUCUAUGAACAAAUCUUUGUUCCCACACAUGUGAUUACUAGCUCUUGUAUCAAGGAACCAAGAAUGUUUUUCUCCUUGCUGUAAGUCCUUGCAAGCUAUCAAAGAGUAGACUCAUCUCUUCAUUAUUUUCUAUAUCUUUUUCAUGAGAAAGGUUAGCUUUCGCACCAUCACCACUUUUACAUUCCCAUGAAUAAUGUCCAAAUUGAUGACAAGUAUAACAUUUAACUUGUGACUUGUCAUACCUCUAUUGAUAUGGUCUUGCUCCUCCUCUGCCAUGUCCUCUUGUUGAGUUGGAUUGAUAAUUUUUAUCUCUACGUUGAAAUGAAAUAUGGUUACCUCUUCUUCCUCUUCCAAAGCCUCGUCCACGCCCUCGUCCUUUGAAACUUGUAUUUCCCUUUUCUUCCUUAUUUUUCAAUGUGAGCUUUGAUUGUAAAACCUACUCCAAUGGCUCCUUCCUUCUUCGAUUAAGCUUCUCUUCAUAUGCUUCCAAUGAUCCACAUAAUACUUCAAUUGUCAUAUCUUCUAAGUCCUUCGAUUCUUUAAUGGCAGUCACCACGUGAUCAAAUUUCUCACUAACUGAUCGAAGGAUUUUCUCAAUCACCCUUAAAUUAGUCACAUCUUCAUUUGGUUUGCAGUGGCCACCACUAUUAAAAUAUAAUCCGUCACCUUUUCGGAUUCCUUCAUUUGAAUAGCUUCAAACUCACAUCGUAGAUUUUGGAGGCGAACUUUUUUUGCCUUCUCCUUUCCUUUGCAGGCAACUUGAAGCAUAUCCCAUAAUUAUUUUGCUGUAGUAGCAUUACAAACCUUCUCAAAAGUAGCCUCAUCCAAUGCUUGGUGAAUAAAAGAAACAGCCUUUUGAUCCUUCCUCUUAGUGUUUUGUAAAAGAUCCCUUUGUGCUUGGGUGAGAGCAGCUAGAUUGGUGGGAGCCUCAUAACCAUUCUCCAUGAUGUCCCAUGCAUCAUGUGCACCAAGUAGUGCCUUCAUACGGAUGCACCAAUUAUCAAAUUUCUCUUUGGACAGUUUUGGAACUUGGAGGACCAUGUUGGUAUUUGCCUUUGUUUCUAGUAUUGUGGCUCUGAUACCACUUUGUAGGAAAUAGAAGUGGACUUAGGAGGAGGAAAUGAUUUUCUAUUCAAUUGUAGACUUAUCUUCAACUCAAGAUUACAUAGGUAUUUAUAGGACUUUCUAUCGCAUAAGUUCAUCCCCUCAAUUUAAUUCUACUACAUGCACCACAAUUUACUAGGUACACAUUAAUUAAUAAGACAUGCAUACAUGAACCACAAUUAACUAGGUGCAUGUUAAUUAAUAAUACAUGUAUUUCAAAUUUCUAAAUUCAUGAAACUAAAUUAAAUAGGUUAAAUGCAUGUUUAUUUUUCUAACAUUAACAGCAUGUUGCUCCCUAACUAGCUUUGAUACCACUUGUUAGGAUCGGAUUUCAACCAUCUCAUUUGAAAACCAAUUGGCGUCUAGUGAGGACAAGCUAUACCUUUAAUAGAAUUCGACUACCAUCAUUUGAGUGACACAACCCAUAGGCUUAAGAGCAGCAUUGUUGCACCCCAACAGUUUCACACUAUGGUGGCAUUGGCUUAGCAGUUAUACAUAAAAUCUUGUAACCAGUGUAGUUUUGCUCGUUUGAUGGAUUUGCUUUUGAUGGAAUUGGUCCAUUAGAAAUACGGAAAAUGGUAUUUCUAAGAGCAAUUGCUUUUUCUGACAUCCAAUUUCUUGUUGUAAAAAUGAUAUGCCAAGGAGAACUAAGGAAGUAAUCAGGUUGAUGCAUAUUUUGAUGGCUGGAUUUAUUCUUUUGCUUUUAUGUAUCUUUGGUAGGGAUGAUUGCAUAGGACUCUAUAGUAUUAUGUUAAAAGAAAAAAAGUUAAAUUCACGUUUAUUAUAUUGUCUAAUACCAUCUAGCGUUGUAUACCAAAUAUGCACUUGAGGGGCAAGUAAACUGCAUGUAGUGUCAUGUAUGAAGCAUAUCUAGACCGUUUUCUUGAUAUGAAACUGAAGAGCUCCAAGGAACUUGGAGUAUUCCAUUUUGCCAGAAAACUUUUUGGUACAUUGAAAAAUCUAUGCCCUUUAUGUAAUGAAUUAGGAUGCAAGCUGAGAUGAAUUCAUUGUUUAAAUGAUCAAUAAUUAGAUAAGUCUGAUGCUUCAAAUUCUGGUGGCGAGAGGAGAAAUGGUUCAUAUGGGGGCAUCUAUGGUAGUUCCUGUAAUUUAACACACAGAGGAGACCUGGGGAGUACUAAAUUCACCAUUGAAGAAAUCUACAAGGCCACCAAAAACUUUUCUCCUAGCUUCAAAAUUGGACAAGGUGGUUUUGGGACAGUCUACAAGGGUCGACUCAAAGAUGGUACUUUGGUUGCAGUUGAGCGUACUAAGAAGGUUGGAGGUCGACAAAAAUGUCACCAGUUAUUGCUAGUUUUGUUUUUUAAGGUUCUUCUCUGUGUGCAGAUUGUCUAUGAUAAACCUUUAGGUACAGAAUUUCAGAGAAGUUCAAACACUGGCACAAGUGGAACAUCUAAAUCUAGUUAAAUUUCAUGGCUAUUUGGAGCACGAAGAUGAAAGGAUUAUUGUCAUGGAACAUGUUCCAAAUGGAACCCUUAGAGAACACUUGGACUGUAAGUUCUUUCUCACCAUAUUGUACAAUUAGUGCUUGUUAAUGAUAAAAUGGAAGAUUCUGGUAAUACACUCAGCCCGUGUUUGAGCCCAAUUUUUUCAAAAAUUCAUUUUUUCAAAAUUCAUUUUCAUCAACACAUUUUUUAAUAAAAUAAUUUAACCACAUAUUUUCCAAAAACUCACUAUUCAAAAAUACAUCUUCUCUUCAAAAUGGGGCUCAAACAAGGGCUCAAUGUACUUUUUUAUUUAUUUGCAACAAUUAUUGUGUCAUUCUCGUAAUUCCUAGAUAGAAAAGUUAUCAAAAUUCUCUCAUUCCUUUCAGGAUUUUUUACUCAAAUAUAUUCUAAUCUAUAUUAUCUAACAGCGAACAUGUGAUUCACUGGUCCAGGUGUGCACCGUAAUGUUCUUGAUUUUAUUGUGAGGUUAAAUAUAGCAAUAGACGCCUCACGCAAUUACCUAUCUCCACAUGUACACAGGUAUGAAUUUUGAUAGUAGCCACGUUAAUUAGGUUCUUAGGAAAUUUAGCUUCAGUAAUUGAUUUGCUCUGUAUGCAGAUCAUCCUAUCAUCCAUAGAGAUAUCAAGUCUUCCAACAUUCUCCUUACAAAGAAUCUAGGAGCUAAAGUUGCCGACUUUGGUUUGGCUCUGCUAGCAGCUGACGGUGAAUCGGGAGAGACACAUGUAUUGACCCAAGUUAAAGGAACUGUUGGCUUUGUAGACCCAGAAUACAUAAAUACCUCACUAGUUUCGGAAAAGAGUGAUGUUUAUGUUGGAAAAAAAACUGAGUUAUGGGCCGACUUUGGCACGAGUUUUGAGUGGGACCUGGUUGUUCAAUUUGGAAGAUGAAAGUUGAUUUGUGUUCUCCUCCGUGAGUACAUCGAAAUCAUAUACUUACUUACCAAAGAUGAUGCUCGAGUGAGUGAGAAAUUGAGGCUCAAAGUGUGCCACUCAAAAGAGAGUUCAUGUGGGAAAAAUGAAUUUGUCCCACAUAGGAAAAAGAUGAGAAACUCCAAAGGUCAUUGCCAUUAAUGGUAGCCUAGCCUAUAAAUAGUGACUCAUUUUCCUCAUUUCAAUACACCAACGCAAAAGCUUUCAAGUUUAGAAUACAUUAAAAAUUCAUUUGCAUAGAGUUCUGUCUUUUCUGUAUUUCUGUCUUGGUGGUAGUGUAGUUCAGGCACUAGUUCAGUAAACCGGAGUGGUUUCUAUGGUGCUCGAAAGCUACUGGUUUUACCAUCGUAUCCUGAGAAACGGAUGCUCAUUUUAAACCUCAAGCACGGACGGGGAGGGGGCGAAUCUGUUUUAAGGAAACUGUGUGUAACACAGGCCUCGGUUUGAAAUUUCAUUUCCUGCAAUUUCAAUUGUUCAUUCUGUUAUUAUCCAAUUAGUUGUACGACUAUAACUUGCUGUUACAUAUAUCAUCUUACCGGACAAAAGGCAUAUACGGUAUUAAAAUCGAGAAUACCGGAUUCCUUAUUUUUCAUAAACUUAUCGGAUUUCAGAAAAGUUCGGUCGACCGAACUGGUGAAACUUAGGAUUUUUCCUACAAGCUUAAAACAGAUUCUCAGAAAGGAAAAAUUGGUUUCCUAUAUUGAUUAAUUCUGAACUGAUUAGUUUCUUAUAUUUGUUAUAUUGUGAAAACUAAUUUGUUGUUUGGUUCUUUCAGAAGACGAAAUGGCAAUCGGUUCCACCAACAUGGAUUCCAACAUGAAUGUGUCCCAAGCUGUAGGUACCCAAACUCAGGCUGUGGGUUUCUACUAUGGGUGCAGGGCCUAGUUCGGCUAUGGCUGCAGGGCCUAGCUCAGUUAUGGCUCAGAUUGUGGCUCAAGUGCCAAGUCGUGUUGUGAGCCAACAUGUGGCUAAUGUUCCGAUUAAUGUACCGGUUGACCAUGGGGAAAAGCCGAAAAAAUUCAAUGGCUUGAAUUUCAAGAGGUGGCAGCAGAAAAUGCUGUUCUAUCUGACCACCUUGAAUCUUGCGAGAUUCUUGAUUGAAAGUGCUCCAAAACUCCAAGAGUGUGAGGUGGAUGUUCAAGCAAUCAGUGCUGUUGAUGCUUGGAACCACUCGAACUUCUUAUGCUGGAAUUACGUCAUGAACAGUUUGGGAGAUUCGCUAUACAACGUGUAUAUCACCACGAAAAUUGCUAAGGAGUUGUGGGAGUCUUUGGACUGAAAAUAUAAGACCGAGGAUGUCGGGGCUAAGAAAUUUAUCGUCGACCGAUUCUUGGACUAUAAGAUGGUGGACUCUAAAACUGUAAUCAGUCAAGUGUAAGAACUCCAAGUGAUUCUUCACGAAAUUCAUGCCGAAGGGAUGAUUCUGAGUGAAACUUUCCAAUUGGCUGCAAUCAUUGAAAAAUUGCCUCCCGCGUGGAAAGAUUUCAAGAAUUAUUUGAAACACAAGCGAAAGGAAAUGAACAUUGAAAAACUAAUUGUUAGACUUCGAAUUGAAGAAGACAACAAGAGUUCCAAAAAGAAAUGAUUCAAUCCUGGUGCGGCUAAGGCCAAUAUUGUUGAACAUGGUUAAGGUAGUAAGAACUAUAAAACAAAGCUGGGCCAUCCGGUGGAAAAGGGAUCAAGCUGAGACCAAAAGGAGGCAUUCCUAAGAAGAAAUCUUAAGGGAAGUGCUUCAAUUGUGACAAAGUAGGCCACAAAUCUUUGGAGUGCAGAUUGUCAAAGAAGAAGAAAGAAGCAAAUGUGGUUGACUACAUGGCACAUGAUGUGUCGGAGAUGAGUCUCGCAGCAGUCAUUUCUAAAGUGAACAUGGUGGGUUCUAACCCAAAAAAAUGGUGGAUUGACACCGGAGCUACGAGACAUGUGUGCUUUGAUAAAGAGUUAUUUACUGCUUUUGAAGCAGUUGAGAAUGGAGAGAAGUUGUUCAUGGGAAAUUCAGUAACUUCUGAAAUCAAGGACCAAGGAAAAGUGGUUCUGAAGAUGACUUCGUGAAAAGAGCUGACUCUCAACAACGUGCUGUAUGUGCCGAAAAUCCGCAAGAACAUUGUGUCUAGGUUGCUUUUGAAUAAGCAUGGUUUUCGCAUUGUGUUUGAGUCAGACAAGGUCAUCUUGUCGAAAAGUGGAAUGUUUAUCGGAAAAUGUUAUGUUUCCGAUGGAAUGUUUAAACUCAAUGUAAUGGUUGUUAAACCAAAAAUGAAUAAUAAAGUGAAUGCUUCUAUUUACUUGCUUGAGUCUUCCAAUGUGUGGCAUGGUAGGCUAGGACACGUUAACUAUGAUACUUUACUUAGGCUAGUUAACUUGAAAUGCAUAACAGCAUUCCAUGUUGAUUCCAAACAUAAGUGUGAGACUUGUGUUGAAGCAAAAUUGACUAGGUCGUCCUUUAAGUCAAUUGAACGAAAUAUGGAAUCACUUGAUUUAAUUCACAGUGAUAUAUGUGAUUUAAAAUUUGUACAAACAAGAGGUGGCAACAAGUAUUUCAUUACUUUUGUCGACAAUAGCACGAAAUGCUGCUAUGUGUAUUUGCUAAAAAGUAAGGAUGAAGCGAUAGAGAAAUUUGUUCUCUAUAAGAAUGAAGUUGAAAAUCAACUUAACAAGAAAAUUAAGGUGUUAAGAAGCGAUCGAGGUGGUGAGUAUGAAGCACCGUUUGCUGAAUUAUGUGCACAACACGGAAUCAUAUAUGAAAUUACAGCACCGUAUUCACCACAACAAAAUGGUGUUGCUAAAAGGAAAAAUUGCACCUUAAAGGAGAUGAUGAAUACGAUGCUAGUAAGUUCUGGAUUACCUCAGAAUAUGUGGGGAGAUGCUGUGUUAUCAGCAAAUUACCUUUUGAAUAAGGUGCCCUGAAAGAAAAUGGAGAAGACCCCUUAUGAGUUAUGGAAAGGAAGAACGCCUUCCUAUAAAUACUUACGAGUGUGGGGGUGUCUUGCUAAAGUGGCUGUUCCAACACCAAAGAAGGUGAAGAUAGGCCCAAAAACUAUAGACUGCAUAUUCAUUAGAUAUACACAGAAACAGUUGUGCUUAUCGAUUUCUCGUGUAUGAAUCUAAAAUUCAAGAUAUACACAGAAACACGAUAAUGGAGUUGAGAAACGCUUCGUUCUUUGAACAUGUGUUUCCAUGCAGGUCCAAAGAAGAGGCAAGUUCUUCUAAACGGACGUACGAGACUAUGAUUGAACAUAGUCAGUACGAAGAACCAGAAGAGGAGGUUGAGAUUGAACCUAGACGUAGCAAAAGGGAAAGGACAGAAAAAUCUUAUGGUCCGAAUUUUCUGACCUAUAUGCUAGAAAGUGAACCUCAAAGCUAUCAAGAGGCUGUGAACUCCUUGAAAGGACCUCAAUUGAAAGAGGCCAUUAAAAGUGAAAUAGAUUCUAUCCUGCAAGAUCAUACAUGAGAGCUAGUGGAUCUUCCACCAGGAAGUAAACCACUAGGCUACAAGUGGAUUUUCAAACGAAAAAUGAAAGUAGAUAGAACUAUUGAAAUGUAUAAGGCCAGGUUGGUAAUAAAAGGUUACCGACAAUGGGAAGGCCUUGAUUACUUUGAUACAUAUUCUCCGGUAACGAGAGUAACAUCCAUUAGAAUGAUACUUGUGAUUGCUGCUUUGCGAAAUCUUGAAGUACAUCAAAUGGAUGUUAAGACUACCUUCUUGAACAGAGACUUAGAUGAAAAAAUCUAUAUGGAACAACCUGAAGGGUUUUUGUCGCUAGGGCAGGAAAAGAAGGUGUGUAAAUUGGUGAAGUCAUUGUAUGGCUUGAAACAAGCAUCAAAACAAUGGCAUGAGAGAUUUGGCAAUGUCAUGAUGUAGAGUGGAUUUAAGAUCAACGAGUGUGAUAAAUGUGUUUACGUUAAAGACACUGAAAAUGGCUAUGACAUUUUAUGUCUUUACGUUGAUGACAUGCUAAAUAACGGACGUUGAGGGGGCGAAUUUGUUUUAAGGAAACUAGGUGUAACACAGUCCUCGGUUUGAGAUUUCAUUUCCUGCAAUUUCAAUUGUUCAUUCUGUUAUUAUCCAAUUAGUUGUAUGACUGUAACUUGCUGUUAUAUAUAUCAUCUUACCAGACAAAAGGCAUAUACGGUAUUGAAAUCGAGAAUACCAGAUUCCUCAUUUUUCAUAAACUUACUGGAUUUCAGAAAAGUUUGGUCGACCGAACUGGUGAAACUCGGGAUUUUCCCUACAUUUAUUCAUUCGGUGUAUUACUAUUGGAACUAGUCACAGACAAGCUUUCGAUUGAGCUAAAACGUGGUCAGGAGGAACAUAUUACUGUUAGAUGGGUAUGACCCUCUCUCUAAUGAGCAAAAUUGUAGUGAAUGAUUUCAAAAUUGAACACACCCCAUGAAGUGGGGGAUGAAUUCUUAUUUUUAUUAAUAUGUCCUCAAUUUUCAUAUAUAGAUAGUGGCGAGACAUAAUAAAUCUGCCUGCUCUAAUACUACAUUGAAUUACUUCAUCUAAAGGCUUAAGUUAUUUGUUUAGAUUUAGUCUUCAACAUCUAAUUGGACGAUUUCUUGAACAAGGACAUGUGCCUCCACUAAUUUUAGAGGGGACAAAAUAGAAUAUUGGUUUAUGUUUUCUCUGGUUGAUUUGAAUUGACUCAAGUGCAGGUUGCGAAGAAGUUUCUUGAUGGAGAUGCAAUCUUAACUUUGGAUCCUAGGCUACAGAGGUCUCCUGCAAAUAACUUUAUAGGGGAAAAGAUUCUUGAAGUAGCCUUGCAAUGUUUGGCUCCUCAUUAACAUGACCGGCCUACCAUGAAGAAGUGUACGAAGAUUCUGUGGAGUAUUUGCAAGAAUUAUGAUGAAUUCUCAACUUCAGAUAUCCCUUCGCUUUCUUCAAAUGCUCGGGGAAGUAGCUCAAUCAGAGAAGAAUAAGCAAUUCGGUGCAAGUAUUUUCAUUCACGUUACUUGCUUCCAUUGAAAAUACAGAAAGAGUACUGAAGAUGGUAAACAAGCAUACAAUGUCGUAGUGGGAAGCGAAGAAAAGAGAGAACUUGAAGGGUGUUUGGCCAAUUGUAAAGAUGUUGAAGUGAUAUUUAGUUCAUGAUGUUUGUCUUUGUUCACGAAAUUAUUUCCUUUCGAUUUAAAACUACCGCAAGUGUACAGUUUGUUAACAAAUAAUAAAGUGGAAUAUUAAGUUCUAAA
rnacentral:lncRNA from 1 species